GCCCGUGCCCGCGCCCACCCCUCCCGCUUGUCCUUGCUCCCCGCCUCCCCCUCCCGGCCAGGUUCCGUUCCGGAAGCGGUCCGGGAUGAGGUCCCCAGCUGCUUCACAGCCGGGACAGCGCUUCCUCCAGCGCCCUGGCUCCUCCUUGCUCGCUGCCCUAAGCGCCUUUGUCUGGUCGGCCUCUGGAUCCGGAGAGGACCAUUUCCGCGUUUCAUUCUUUUCUCAGCUUUGCACUUUAUUUCCUAGAGUGGCAUGGAGGCCAGGGAAGUGGAGGGGGCUGGAUUGCGCGGUCAGCGGGUGCGGCCAGGAGGAGACGGGGGCUCACCUCUUGACCACGCGCUGACAGUCACCUGGGCAUGCAGGUUCCCGAGGACCGCCGCCUGGGAAGGCCCGCGGCUGCCAGAAGCCCAGAGCCACGCCUCCGACUCGGGUGGCCUAGGCUGCCCUGAACUGUUCCGAGGGUCAAGGACCUGGCCAGGGAUCCAGCCCCAGAUAACUUCGCUUUCGCCUGGACCUCACAGCACACGCCACGCGCAGAUUGAGUCACUUUUGGGGCUCAGUGUUGCGUGUGAGAAGAUGCGAGUCGGGGUCUUUGGAUUUAUUCCCUGAAAUCCAUUAACUUAUUUCUUGCACCUCAAACUGAACCUUCUGUUAUCCAUCCAUCCAUUCAGGGAUUCCUCGCAGGAAUCCCCGCCCUGCGUAGACCCUUGUAAUCUUGAGUGGGCAAUGAAUUUUGGCCCUGCAUACCCUAUCUAUGUAUUUCUUACUCGUUUUUGAUUGACGUUGUGAACCGUCUCAAAAGCCUGGUCCAAAAUUUCUGGCUUCAUCCCUGCUGAGAUGCUGUUCCAGUGAAGUUUUCCCAGGGACUUCCUGAGUCUGCUCAGGUGCGCCCUCUGCCUGUUGAGAGCUUGUAGGUCAGGGGCCAGGCUUGCUUCUUUUCUUACCCUUAGACUUCCAGCCCUUUUGCCAGGGUACAAUUUACUGCCUCCUGCUUCCUGACCUUUCACGAGUGUCCUUCGACUUUGAUCUAUCUGCCACUGCGUUUGUUUUUGUGAGUUUGCACGUUAGGUAGCCCAUCUGCUCGUGUUCUAUUGCGAUCAUUAUUAGGGAGUAAGGUGUUCUUGGUUAAACAUACAAUUCAGUCUUGACAUUUUAGAUCAUUGGGAAUGAAAUCCAGCGACCUAUUUUGAACUUUACUAUAUAAAAUCUUAUCAGCUUCCACCACGUACAGUGGGAAGCUCCAAGUUAUGUGUAGUGCUUUUUGGGUGCUGAAUGCUAGGACUUCACCGCAGUUAGAAAAUUAGAGAACCUCAGGCUUUCUUCUCCAAAGUGCUAAGAAACAGAGUGCUUUCUUAUUCUCCUAGAAAAUCUUCAGUACUCGUCUCGCAACAUGAACGUUUAAAGCUAAAACCUUCACAGAGAAGCGACAUGGAGCAGGAGCAGUGGCUAAUUGCUGAACUCUUCAAAACUUGGCAUAUGGGCUGCUGGUGUACCACCAUCAUCCCCAACACUCCUGUUCAGAAGAUGGGUGAGGAAAGUGGAAAGUCUAAUCAGUCAGCCGAUGACCAGUGGGAAAAAUGAGCUACAAGAUCACCUGAUCUUCAUCAGUGAGAAAGCUUUGCACAAGAGAUGAAGUAGGAACAAAGCCUGGGAGGAUCCUGUGGAGUGACUUUUGUGGGCUUCUUUCUGCUCAUGGACAACCUGAUGGUCACAGCCAGAAAGAGAACACAUCAGAGUUUACAUGGAUCUAGUCUUCAGGACCUUCUGUCCAGGAAACAAUAUGUUUGAUACUCAGGUCUGCUAGAAAUACUUCAACCCAAAAUUCCAAAAUGAC